rnacentral:lncRNA from 1 species
CGCACAUAACUAUUUUCCAAUCCAAUUAUCACUAUACAAUUGAGGAACUUAAUUUAAAAACCAAUACAAAGGAAACAACCAGAAAUUAAAAUUUGGUUCUUCAAGAAGACGAGAACCAAGAAAACUGAGCUAACAGAUUCCGAUGAAUUUACACAAGCAUGGAAUUUAACAUUCCACAUCAAGAGCCCAACAAAUAAGGAAAGAAAAAAAAACUGUUAUGUCACCGGAAAACACUCAAAGCCAGACAGAAGCAUAACUGUCAAAGGCAUCGUCCGAACAACAGAAAAACCGAACUGGAAAACCUCUAAUCACAAACCCUGGGACCAUGUGCUUGACAUAUUUUCACUGUUUCACACCCUUUGUUUUGGUGGUGCUAUCAAAUUCUGCAACAUUUUAGCUCUCCACUACCACCACCACCUCAUUGCUUUUUUUCAUGUACCUUAUUUAUACUGUCUCUUUUCUCA